rnacentral:lncRNA from 1 species
GGAAUGUUUUGAUUGGCUGGAGGGGGGCACACGAAAAUGGGGGCAAUUCUGGGCAGAUUGGGAUUAGGGUUCUUAUCAAAAAAAACGUGAUUUCUCAAUUCUUCCCAAAAGUGUCAAUUAAGCAUACCAUUGUAAACAUCAAACACCAUACAACAACAAUCCAAACCCUAAUUUCAUCAAUUUGAACUAUACAACAAGAAAUCACAAGAAACAUUUUCAAACAUCAAACUUUAUAAAGUGUCAAUUAAGCAUACCAUUGUAAACAUCAAACACCAUACAACAACAAUCCAAACCCUAAUUUCAUCAAUUUGAACUAUACAACAAGAAAUCACAAGAAACAUUUUCAAACAUCAAACUUUAUCCCAUCAUAACUUCAUGAACAAGCAACUAUUCCAAAAAAUGAAAGCAUCAUGGUACUCAGCAAUAAAGGAUCUUUCCAAAGUGUAUGUCAAUUUUAAGAAUGGGGGAAGUUGAAAACUUACUAAUUUUGAGAAGCAGUUGUAUUGCUGGUGCCUUUUGAUGGAUUUGGGGUGAAGUGAUCGUCCUAGAGCCUUGCCUUGAUGUAUGCUGAAGAUUGCUCUUUGUCAAAUGCUUGUGUAGUGUCCACUCAAAGGGGGUGCAAAUGUUGUCAAGCCAGGCCAGGUUUAUGACUGUUGCUGCAGUGUUGGAUUUUUCUGUGGUGUUUGACAGGACCUUUCUUGGCAAGAUGCAAGUGAGGUGGUUGGAAUAAGGCAGGAUGAAUGCUGGUUCUGUUGUUUUGAUGGCAGGAAAAUGAAGUCCUCUGCCUGCUGCUAAGUUGUUGUGACAGGUUUUUGGUAAGAAUCAAAUGAAGUGAGUUUGAGUUUUGCUAAGUUGGUUUUUAGGAUUUGAAGAAAGCAAAACAAAGUUGGACUGGCCUGCUGCUAUUUCUUGGAUUCUUGUUAUGACAACCCAUGGUCUAUGCCAAGCAAGCAAGCAUGAAGUUGAAAAAAAAGAGGAGGGGAGAGAAGAGACAGAGAAUGGCAAUUUUGUAAUAUGGAUCCACUACAAAACACAGCGUUUGGGCACAAUGGAAUGUUUGAAUUGGCUGGAGGGGGGCACACGAAAAUGGGGCAAUCUGGGCAGAUUGGGAUUAGGGUUCUUAUCAAAAAAAACGUGAUUCUCAAUUCUUUCCCAAAAGUGCAAUUAAGCAUACCAUUGUAAACAUACAAACACCAUACAACAACAAUCAACCUAAUUCAUCAAAUUUGAACUAUACAACAAGAAAUCACAAAAACUUUCAAACAUCAAACUUAUCCCAUCAUAACUUAUGAACAAGCAACUAUCCAAAAAAUGAAAGCAUCAUGGUACUUCAGCAAAAAGGAUCUUCCAAAGUGUAUGUCAAUUUUAAGAAUGGGGAAGUUGAAAACUUACUAAUUUUGAGAACAUUGUAUUGCUUGGUGCCUUUUGAUGGAUUGGGUGAAGGGAUCGUCCUAGAGCCUUGCCUUGAUGGUAUCUGAAGAUUGCUCUUUGUCAAAUGCUGUGUAGGUCCACUCAAAGCGGAAAAAUGUUGUCAAGCCAGGCCAGGUUUAUGACUGUUGCUGCAGUGUUGGAUUUUCUGUGGUUUUGACAGGACCUUUCUUGGCAAGUGCAAUGAGGUGGUUGAAUAACAGGAUGAGAAUGCUGGUUCUGUUUUUUGAUGGCAGGAAAAUGAAGUCCUCUGCCUGCUGCUAAGUUGUUGUGACAGGUUUUGGUAAGAAUCAAAUGAAAGUGAGUUUGAGUUUGCUAAGUUGGUUUUUAGAUUUUGAAGAAAGCAAAACAAAGUUGGACUGGCCUGCUGCUAUUUCUUGGAUUCUUGUUAUGACAACCAUGGUCUAAUGCCAAGCAAGCAAGCAUGAAGUGAAAAAAAAGAAAGUAUUCGGCUGCUACUGGUUUUUAGACAGAAAAGAAUAAAAUGCAAAUAGUUAGGUUCAGUUGAGGAGUGGAGCUGUUGGUUGUUGGAUGUGUGUAGCAGAAAAAAAUGUUGGUUUGUUGGAUGCUGGUUCUGCUGUUGGUGUUUUGUUGACAGAAAGAUGUGGGAUGCAAAAUAGCAAGUUGAUGGUGAGCUGCAGGUUUGUAAUGGGUGUUUGCUGCUAGUAAACUUGGAAGAAAUGGCAAAAUGCAGUUGGGUGGCUUUUGGAGAUUGUAGGAAGUUGUUAGUUUUGUUGGUUAGUUUUGUUGGUUUGGUGGCUGCAAAGUUCUUUUGCAUGACAGAAAAUGGCUCAAAUAUGGUUCCUCAUGCUUGGACAGAAAAGCAAAAACAAACUAGUGCACACUCUUCGAUUUUCAAGCGCAGUUUUUUGCUUCUCUGGUACAGGGUGUUUGUAAAGUGGCCAAAGGCUUUGUUUGAUGAUAGCCAAAUGAAGUGGCAAGGUGGUUGUAUAUGCAGGGUUGGAAUGAAUGCAAUGCAAGAUGAUGCUGGGGUUUGUUGGUCUGUUAUGCUGGUUUUGAGGCAAGGCCAAGGGUUGUACAAGUUUUUAGAAUCACCAUUAGAAAAAUGAAGAGCUGUUUGUAUGCUGCUUUUUGUAACUUUCAAACAAACACUUGCCAUCUUGACAUGCCAACGCAAUCCUUUUUGUAUCAUGACCUCUUUCUUUUUGGUCUGCAGUUGCUUGUGGUGUAACUGCGUCUCAAAAGUGACAGCAAGAAGAACAAAGAAAACCCUGCUUUUUGUUGCUUAGUUCUGCAAUGCCUUUUUCUUCUGAGUUUUACAGGUNNNNNNNNNNNNNNNNNNNNNNNNNNNNNNNNNNNNNNNNNNNNNNNNNNNNNNNNNNNNNNNNNNNNNNNNNNNNNNNNNNNNNNNNNNNNNNNNNNNNNNNNNNNNNNNNNNNNNNNNNNNNNNNNNNNNNNNNNNNNNNNNNNNNNNNNNNNNNNNNNNNNNNNNNNNNNNNNNNNNNNNNNNNNNNNNNNNNNNNNNNNNNNNNNNNGAAUGAAAAGUAUUUCUGCUCCUGCUACCUUGGGUUCUUUAGACAGAAGAAGAAUAAAAUGCAAAUAGUUAGGUCAGUUGAGGGAGUGUGAGUCGUUGGUUUGUUGGAUGCUGUAGGAGCAGAAAAAAAAUGUGGUUUUGUUGGAUGCUGGUUCUGCUGUUGGUGUUUUGUUUUGACAGAAAGUGUGGGAUGCAAUAACGAAUUUGAUGAUUGAUGCUAGAUGGUUUGAGUGGAAUGGUGAUUGUUUGCUGCUAAGUAAACUUGGAAGAAAUGGCCAAAAUGCAGUGUGUGGCUUUUGGAGAUUUGUAGUAAGUUGGUUAGUUUUUUUUUUAGAAAAAUCCAAGGGUGUUUGUGGUCUUGUUGGAAGGUAUGGUUGAGCUAGCUAGUUCAAGUAAGGUUACUGCAGGUUCUUUGGUACUGCUGCAGGCAACUGAUUUUUCUGUUUUGUUAAUGCCCCAAAAACCUGUUUUCAAACCCUGCUCUUAACUGUUGUUUGUGAUGGCAAGGCAUGGUAUAGGGUUGUGGCAUUGUGCAGCCAGUAGUUCUCAAAAAAUGACUGGAAAAUGUGAUCCACAAAAUCUGCUUUGUGAUGUGGUGAAAGCAUGGUUGUGGAAGUAUGGUGUGGAAUGGUGUAAUUGUACUUUUACUCUCCAAUUUUUAGGCAAUUAGGACAUGGCCAUAUGUACCAUUGAUUUUUGGCUGCAUAAUGAGGCUCUAAGGACAGAAGAAAGGCUGCAUAAUUGCUGUCCUUUUGAGGUACAAGGCAAGGCAUGGACAAGCAUGGUGCAAUGGUACUUUUCUUACAAUUCAAGCAACCAAACAAGAUUCACAUGUUCUGCAUAAUUUGACCUUGCAAACACCUUCUAAAUGACAUUUAUGAGCUGUUCCAAUUGGCCAAAUGCUGAAAAAAUGUUUGAGUCAAAAAGUCAACUCUUGGUCAAACUUACAUUUAAAUGAAAAAGGUCAAAAUAUGCCAUUUUGAUUGGUAAAGUUUUAGGUCAUGAAAUUUAUAUUUUUGGAAAGAGGAUGAAAAAUGUGACUUGUAGGAAAAAACCCCACCAAAAUUGGCCAAACGGUUUGAGAGAUAUGGCCUUUUGAAGUUCAAGAUUUUCUGAAAUCGAUUCGAUCAUAACUUGCCAACCAUACAUGGGAAUUGAGAGUUCUAGGACUUUUUGGAAAUGGGAGAACAAGAUCUUCAACUUUCAUGUUGGGCAAAAAUUCAUUUGAGGCUUGUAUCAAAAUGUAAGUUUGAGGAUCAAGACUUUCCAUUUAUGGCAGGUUUCAGUUACAGGCCCAGUUUCCAUUUUGGGAAAUUCAUGAUCUGGCUUCAAAUUCUUCCAUGAUGGUGUUUGGCAUGAUAUAUGAUGACUAUUUGGACAUGAAUGAACUCUCACAAACCAAAUCCAAUCAUCCAAUCACUGAUUAAAUGGACAGUUGACCAACAGUUGACUAUUAGGGUUUUUGUCUGAUUAUGCAUUAACUGAUGACUUCCAAACCCUAAUUCCUUGAGAAUUUGACUUCAAAUGAUGUCCCAAGUUGUAUGAACUCUUGAUUAUUGAUCAUGGUGCCCAAAUUCCACAAGAAUGACCACCAUCCACUACUUUGACUGAUAGUUGACUUUUCUAGGGUUUUUGACUGUCUGUGUAUGAACUGCUGACCUCUGAGCCCUCAACCCUUGACAUGAACUCUUCAAAUAGACCUCCAAGUCAUGUGAACUUGUUGGACAAACCCCAAGGCCUUGAUUCAAUGAGAAAUUCCUUUGCUUGCUUGGUUGACUGAUCAGGAGAUUAGUUUGGCCUAAUUCUUGAUUGCUUGCACUUGAGGCAACUGGGAACAAUACAAAUGUUAUGCAAUGGACCAUGAUAUGUUAUGACCUAAUAUGAAAAUGUACGCAUAAUGAUAGGUGCAAAUUUGAGGUGCUACAAUGAGCAGAUUCGAAGAAAUUAAAAUGUGAAGUAAACCUAUGAUUUGCUGAGUUUGAGAGCAUAAUUCCUUGCUAUGGAUGCUUGCAGUUUGUUCUUUAGAUCAAAGGGAAGAAGGCUAAGGAACUUUAGAUCCAGAAAACAAUCAAUGAAAUUGAAUUCUAGAUCUGAAAAAUUUAGAGAAAGUUGGUGAGUUCCUUUGAUAGUGAGGGUGAGGAUUCAAUUGCACAGCAUUUAGGGCGCCUUCAGGUUGCUGAAAUGAGAGGCCUUGGCAUUGUAUUUAUAGGAGAAAGCAUCUGAUAUGCAUGAACAUUCCCUUGCAUGAAUGGAAAGGGCCUCCAUACAUGGGCCUGUCCAAGCGCAUGGAGGGCCCAAUUCCACUUGGAUUUGGUAGCUGAACAAUGAUAGAAGCAAAUUGGAAUGAUACAGGUUUAGCUCAUGCAAUGCAAAUUAAUUGAUUUUCCAAAAUUGCACCAAUGUGUUCAUGUCUUCGAAAAUGCCAUGUCCAAACUUGAAACACCACCUCAUGAGUAAUGGUUGGAAAUAUUUUUGCAUGAGGAUCAUUUGUUAUGUUGAUCACAACUCCAUUUGAAACUUGGAAAUUGAUGAAAAGUGGUCAUGAAGUGUAGGGUGCAAAACAUGUACAUGUGAGAAUUUCAAAAAUAGCCAAAGUUCAAGCCCCUCUGUCUCAAUGAUGCAAGCUCCAAACGAUAAAAUCUUCAACAUCAAAGUUGUAAAUCGUUUCAAGGAAAAAAAAUUGGACUUAAAUUUUGCAUCAUUUGGAUUUUUGAUGAAGAAGUUAUGGGCACUUGAAGUUGGACUUUUUCACAUUUCAAUGCCUUUGGUCCAAAGUGACCUAUAAUGUUUUACAUUAUCACAUGUAUUUCUUUUAGGAUUUUGAAAUUUUGCUCAACAUAACAUUUGAAGUAGACAUAUUAAGAUUUAAAAUUCAUUUGAUCCCACCUCAAAAUCAUGAAAAAUGAAGGAGUUAUGUCCUUGGGAAGUUGACCCAAAAUUAGGGUUUUAGUCAAAAUGACCUAUAAUGUCUUGGAAUGGAUGAUGACGUUCCAAGCAUCAAAUAAAUUUUUGAUGAACAUUAAAGUUGUUCAUAUGGUUCUUAAGAACAUUUUGUCUCUUGGGGUCAUCUCCAUUUGACAAACACAUCAAAAGUUAGGUCUCAGUGUAUUUCAAAAUAGUGAGAUGAAUUGAUUGAUCAACUUCUCAAGUCCAAACCUCAUAUCUUGAUGAAUUGAUGAUUGAGGAUACUCAAAUAAGUUCAAAUAUGCAUGAAAUGAUGAAUGAAAAAACUUCCCUUGAUUGUAUUUGAUCAUGGAUUGAGGUUGCUUCAUGAGCAAGGCACAGUUGAUGAACAGAUGAAUUAGGGUUUCCUUGGGAAACAAGCCUCAAGUCCCUUCAUUUACUUUGAUAAAAAUGAUGAAUUGAGAUAAUUGGGAGGCAUAUUUGAUGGAUGAGAUCUUUGGGAACCAUUUCCAUGCUUUCUUUCAUCUUCUCUUGGCCAUAUCAAUGCACAUAAGAUCUUGUGACUGCUCAAGCUACAAACAAGAGAUGUUAGUGACAUAUUUUUGUGCUUUUGGUUAGUAAACAAAAUAAGAAAAGAAAUAAUAUACAAUUAAAUCGUGCUUGGUGAUCUCAAACCAACUCACAAAAGUUCCCACCCAAAGGUAAGGAGCCAAGAUGAUAUGAUCCUUGAGGCAAGAUGCAAAUGCAAUGUUAUGAUGCCAUGAGGGAUCUUAGGGUCAAAAUUAGGGUCCUACAGGUUGGAUUCUAAGAUUGUGGAGCAUAGAUUGCCGUUGAAGCCAUAAUGUCUUCCAGUCAAGCAGAAAUUGAGAAGAACGCAUCCUGAUAUGGCUGUGAAGAUCAAAGAGGAAGUGCAAAAGCCGAUUGAUGUUGGUUUCCUUGUGACCAUUGAGUAUCCGCAAUGGGUGGCCAAUAUUGUGCUUGUACAAAAGAAAUAUGGAAAAGUCCGCAUGAGUGUCAAUUAUAGAGAUUUGAAUAAAGUCAAUCCGAAAGAUGACUUCCCUCUGCCACACAUUGAUAUGUUGGUAGACAAUACUGCUAAAUUCAAGGUCUUUUCAUUUAUGGAUGGGUUUUCGGGAUAUAAUCAGAUCAAGAUGGCACCCGAAGAUAUGGAGAAGACCACAUUCAUUACACCCUAGGGAACAUUCUGUUAUAGAGUGAUGCCUUUCGGUCUAAAGAAUGCUGGUGCAACUUACCAGAGAGAACCCUAGGGAACAUUCUGUUAUAGAGUGAUGCCUUUCGGUCUAAAGAAUGCUGGUGCAACUUACCAGAGAGCAAUGACUACUCUUUUUCAUGAUAUGAUGCAUAAAGAGAUUGAAGUAUAUGUCGAUAACAUGAUUGCUAAAUCAAUUAAUGAAGAGGAACAUAUUGAGCAUUUAUUGAAGUUACUCAAGCGUUUGUGGAAGUAUAAACUUCGCUUGAAUCCCAAUAAGUGUACUUUUGGUGUUCGUUCUAGUAAGUUAUUGGGCUUUAUUGUCAGCGAGAAGGGUAUUGGAGUUGAUCCUGCCAAGGUCAAAGCAAUACAAGAGAUGCUUGCGCCCAAAACUAAGAAGCAAAUCAGAGGCUUUCUCGGCCGCUUGAAUUAUAUUUCUAGAUUGAUUUCCCACAUGACUACCACAUGUGCACCUAUAUUCAAGCUUCCUCAGAAAGAUCAGUCUUGUGAUUGGACCGAAGACUGCCAGAAAGCUUUUGACAGUAUCAAAGAAUAUUUGCUUAAACCUCUGAUUUUGUCUCCACCUGUUGAAGGAAGACCAUUGAUCAUGUAUUUGAUUGUGCUCGAAGAUAGUAUGAGUUGUGUCCUUGGUUAGCAAGAUGAGAUUGGAAAGAAAGAAUUUGCAAUUUACUACCUCAGUAAGAAGUUCACCGACUGUGAGACUCGGUAUUCUAUGCUUGAGAAGACUUGUUACGCAUUGGCUUGGGCUGCUAAGCGUCUGCGCCAGUAUAUGUUGAAUCAUACCACUUGGCAGAUGUUAUUGUCAGAGUAUGAUAUCAAAUACCGAUAUCAGAAAACAAUCAAAGGUGGUAUCUUGGCUGACCAUUUGGCUCACCAACCAAUUGAAGAUUAUCAGUCUGUGCAGUAUGAUUUUCCUGAUGAAGAGAUUUUGUACUUGAAAAUGAAAGAUUGUGAUGAAUCAUUGCUUGAAGAAGGGACAGAACCUGGUUCUCGUUGGGGAAUGGUAUUUGAUGGAGCUGUUAAUCAAUAUGGAAAUGGAAUUGGGGCCAUGAUUAUUACUCCUCAAGUCACACAUCUAUCAUUAACAUCUAGAUUGACUUUCAAGUGUACAAACAACAUGGAAGAAUAUGAAGCUUGCAUUAUGGGGCUUGAAGAGGCCAUGAAUCUCAGAUUCAAGUAUUUGGAUGUCUUCGGUGAUUCGACUUUGGUUAUGAAUCAUAUCAAAGGAAAAUGGGAGACAAAUCAACCUGGUUUAGUACCAUAUAGAGAUUAUGCGAGAAGGAUUUCAACUUUCUUUACAAAGGUUGAAUUUCAUCAUUUCUCUCGAGAUGAGAACCGGAUGGCAGAUGCUCUUGCAACGUUGGCGUCAAUGAUUGUAGUGAAGUAUUGGAAUGAAGUUCCCAAUGUAUAUAUGAUGCGUCUUGAUAGGCCAGAUCAUGUGUUUGUUAUUGAAGAGAUUAAAGACGAGAAGCCGUGGUAUUACGACAUCGAAUGUUUCCUCCAAAGUCAAAAUUACCCGCCUGGGGCAUCUUUGAAAGAUAAGAAAACUUUGAGAAGAUUAGUCGGCAAUUUCUACUUGAAUGGUGAUAUAUUAUACAAGAGAAACUUCGACAUGGUUUUGCUCAGAUGCGUGGAUAGACACGAAGCAGACUUGUUGAUGACUGAAGUGCAUGAAGGUUCCUUUGGUACUACUACUUGAAUGGUGAUAUAUUAUACAAGAGAAACUUCGACAUGGUUUUGCUCAGAUGCGUGGAUAGACACGAAGCAGACUUGUUGAUGACUGAAGUGCAUGAAGGUUCCUUUGGUACUCAUUCCAAUAGACAUGCAAUGGCGAAGAAGAUGUUGCGAGCAGGUUACGAUUGGCUGACAAUGGAAUUUGACUGUUGCAAAUUUGUGAAGAAGUGCCACAAGUGUCAAAUUUAUGCUGAUAAGAUUCAUGUUCCUUUGACACUAUUGAAUGUUAUCUCUUCCCCAUGGCCCUUCUCCAUAUGGGGAAUUGAUAUGAUUGGGAUGAUUGAGCCCAAAGCUUCGAAUGAACAUCGUUUCAUUUUAGUGGCAAUUGACUACAUCACGAAAUGGGUUGAAGCGGCAUCAUAUGCAAAUGUGACCAAGAAGGUUGUUGUAAGGUUUAUCAAGAAUCAGAUUAUAUGUCGUUAUGGUGUGCCAAGAAAGAUCAUUACUGAUAAUGGAUCGAACUUGAAUAACAAUAUGGUGGAAGCUCUUUCCAAAGACUUCAAGAUUGCACAUCAUAAUUCUUCUCUCUACAGACCCAAGAUGAAUGAGGUUGUUGAAGCUGCGAAUAAGAAUAUUAAGAAGAUUAUCCAGAAGAUGGUUUUCAUGUAUAAGGAUUGGCAUGAGAUGCUCCCUUUUGCUUUGCAUGGGUAUCGUACAUCCAUCUGCACUUCAACAGGGGCAACCCCCUUCUCUCUUGUUUAUGGUAUGGAAGCGGUGCUCCCCGUAGAGGCUGAGAUUCCUUCAUUGCGAGUGCUCAUGGAAGUCAAGUUGACUAAGGCUGUAUGGUGUCAGACCAGGUUUGAUCAGCUAAAUUUGAUUGAAGAGAAGAGGUUAACUGCCAUGUGUCAUGGUCAGUUAUAUCAAUAGAGAAUGAAGAAAGCUUUUGAUAAGAAGGUCAGACCUUGAGUGUUCAGAGAAGGUGACCUUGUGCUCAAAAAGAUUUUGACGUUCAAGCCAGAUUCCAGAGGAAAAUGGACUCCUAAUUAUGAAGGCUCAUAUGUUGUUAAGAGAGCCUUUUUAGGCGGUGCAUUAAUUCUUACAACUAUGGAUGGUGAAGAGUUCACUCGUCCUUUGAAUGCAGAUGCAGUUAAGAAAUACUUCGCCUAAAAAAAGAAAAGAACAACUCGAUAAGUUGAAAACCCGAAAGGGCGACUUAGGCAAAAAUGAGCAUCUCGGUGGAUUGAAAACCCGAAAGGGAGAUCUAGGCAAAAAUUAGAGACAUAAAAACAGAAAGAAUUUCCCGAUAAGUUAAGUACCCCACCUUGGGGCAACUUAUGCAAAAAUAUGGGAUUAUGGCAAGUAACUACAUUCUACUGAUCUUCAGAUUUUGAAGGCUUGUUUGAGCACAAGGGUUGACAUCAGUUUGUCCCCAACAACGGUCAAGAGCACAACAGAUAUCAAGAGAUGGUAGAAGGAUUAAGGAUCAUUUGUAUUAAAUGUAACCCUUUUCCAUGUAAAUUACCAUUUUUAACUUUGUAAAAAUCUAUGGAGUCUUGUCAUUUACAGACUACCAUUCCAUCAAAUAAAGUUGAGCUUUUAUCCAGUUAUUUCUACUCUUAUUUACUUCAGCCAAUAGUUUUAAAUUUUAUUAUGAUCAUUUUGAAAUUAAAAUUUUUUAUCAAAAAAAAAAUCAAGUUUUUUUUAAAAUAUAUAAAGCAUGAAUUUUUCAAAGCAAUUAAAAUGAGUAUCAACAGCAUUUCGAUGGAUAGCAAGUCCUUAAAUGCGAAACAUCAGAGGUUCCCCAAGCAAUUAACCCUUUGGGUAUCCCUAGACGUUUGUGUGGAUUUAGUUCCUCGACGGAGUGUUUGAUACUCAGUGGAAUUUCUUUCCUUUUCCCCAGCUGAGUUGGAUGAUCCAGAUACCCUACGGCAUGUUGUUUUCCUCGACAGAGUUUCUGCCUUCCCUAGCGAAGUUCGUAUUUCUUCAGCAAGGUUGAUCUUUAGAGGUGGUUGAUUUUCCCCCAUUAAAUCGCAUUGGUUUCCCCACCAAUCUCCAUUCAACUUGCUCCCAGUCAGAGUUUCCUCCUGGUUUCUGAGCAGCUUUUGUUAUGAUUUUUCUCUAUAGGAUUGUCUCCCAUUUUUAUGGUGUUGACCUAAAAUCCCCCGCAGAUUGGAUGUUCUGUCCUCAGCAGAUCUCCUCCUUCCCCAGCUAGGGUUGAGCCUUUGGGAUGUCGAUCUCUUUGUUCUCCAACAGUUGUCUCCAUAUUUUGUGGAUUGACCAAGGAUUGUACCGUUGGUUCAAAUUCUUUGUGACACCUUUGUAUCAUUUGUGAUCAUUUUGUCAACAUAAUCAUCAUAUAUACAUAUACAUAUAUAUUCGUAUAAUUUCAUAAUUUGCAUAUCCUGCAUCUUUAUAUUUGAUUUAUUUGAGAUUUUUAUUCUCUAUUAUGGAGGUAUUUUAUCCCCAUACCAAAUCUGGUGUCUGUCCUCCUUCAAUUGUAGAUUGUCAACCCCUUAAGCAGAAAGACUUUAACCUUUCUCCGUUUCCCCAUUGAGUUUGUUUCCUCGUGGAUGGUUGUUAUUUUAGUUUCCUCUCGAGAGGAUUUUCUGGAUGGAAUUACUCCCCUUGAGUUAUGUCCUCAUUGGGUUGUGUCUUAAUUGACUGUUUCUAUCUAGCUCUUACCUAGAUAGAUGCUUUGAGUCUCCUAAGAGUUGAUUGCCCAGUAACUGGUAAUAUUCUUCUUAGUUUGCCGUUUGUUACUUCUUGCCCAAUACCUGGAAAAAGUACCCCUGUUUUUCUCCUCAGUAGAGUCCCUAGUGGAUCUAUUCCCCAGUAAGUGUAUCCUUUAUAUGUUCACCCUAACCGGUGACGGAUAUCUUUCUUUCCCCUGCCGGAGUCUAUCCUUGAUAUGUUCACUUUAACCAGUGAUGGAUAUUCUCAUUUUUGGUAUUCUACCCAGUAAAAGGGUAUUUGUAAUCCAUAUUUUGUUCCCUAGAGAGUUAAUCCUUGAUAUGUUCAUCUUAACCGAUGACGGGUUUUCUUCUCCUUGUGGUUUUCUACCCAGUAACCGGGAGUUGUAAAUCCUACUUUAUCACCUUGCAGAGUCUAUCCUUUAUAUGUUCAUCCUAACCGGUGACGUAUUUUCUCUCCGACGGUUUUCUAUCCAGCUUUCGAUAAAUGUAAUUCCUAAUCAAUGACGGGUAUCCUCCUUGACAUUCCCGGGCAAGCCUAUCCUUGAUAUGUUCAUUUUAACCGGUGACGAAUUUUCUUCCCUGUCGAGUUUAUCCUUGAUAUGUUCAUCAUAACCGAUGAUAGAUACUCUCGCCUUUGGUCUUCUUCCCAGUAACUGGUAGUUGUAAAUCCUAUAUUUUCUGCAAUUUCCCCAGCAAGGUUAUUCUUACCCAGUAGUCGGUAAUGAAUUUCCUCUCCUGGAAUCCUCAGCGAGUCAUCCUUGAUAUGUUCAUCUUAACCGAUGACGAAUGUUCUCUCUGUCAGAUCUUUAUUAUCUCCUUACCCAGUAACAGGUAGUAGAUAAUAGAUUUAUGCUCCUCCUGUGUUGAAGUUUAUUGCUUCCCCAGUUAAGUUGAGUGUGCGUUUUUCCUUAGUGAAAUCGCUUUCCCCUGCAUGAUUCGAGUACUUCAGUUUUAUCCUGACCUACUCAUGUCUCUUGCAGAUGUUGUUGUUUCCCCAGCUGAGUCUUUCCAUGUUUGUAUGGAUGUCCUCGAGUCCUCCAACAAUUUUUAAGUCGUAGCCUGGCCUACGCAUAACCCCUCUUACCCCUCCCCAAGAGUCUUUGUCUCCCUAGUGAGUUUUCCUUACGGAAUGCAUUAUGCUCCUGUGGAUUUUCGGUCUCUCUGAUUCCUUUUUUCCUUUGUGGCAAUAUUUCCCACAGAGCAUUAACUUUUACAUUCAUAUCAUAUGCAUCAUGAGGUAUCUUAGUACCAAAAUUCGUUUCUCUAUGUUGUUAUUUAAGCCCAUUCUACUGAGUCGAGCCGAAGAUUUUAACCUUCACCUCCUUAGUUAGAAUGUCCUUAAAUAGGGGCAGUUGUAAGACCCCAAUUUUGACCCUAAGAUCCCUCAUGUAAUUUCAUCAUAAGUAUUAGCAUUGAGAUCAUACCUUGGCAUCCUCCUUACCCCUCUUUCAUUGGGUCUGUUUUAGGAGAGAUCACCAAGCACUUUGUGAUUGUAUCAUACUUGUAUUUUAUCAUUUCACUAACCAAAAUAUCAAAAAUAUGCCUUUACAUUUUCCUAACUCUUUUGUAGGAAGGGCAUGAUCUCCAUUGAUCUAUCAAGUUCACAUCUAAGGUUUGAGACCCUAAUGAACAAAGAGCACAACCAAGAAUCAAUCCAAGAAUGGUUAUGAGCAUCAUAUACGACUACCAAUGUUCUCUACAUGUUAUAUUGAUCAAGUUUUCUUCAAGAGUUUGAGGGUGAUUUGCCUUGGAAAUCCUAGUUUGACUGGGUAUCUUGAGUAACUUCUCCAACAAGCUAUCACACUAAUUGAUCAAAUUUCUAAAGGGACACUUCAAAAUUCAUCAUCUUAUUCAUAUAUGAUCUACCAUGAGCCAAGAAAUUCAAGAGAAUUGAAGGUUAGCAAGUUGGUUGAUGGUGGUUGGCCAGAUGGAUUCAUCUGAUCAAAACUAGGUCUCCCUAGACCCCAUCUCCUACAAUUUUCACCAUAUGAAAAUUAUUCCAAGAUAAAAUUUACUCUAAAUGACAUUCCAAACAACUUUCAUGUUGAGACCUAGAGGUAGGUUUGAAUGGAAAAUCAUUUUAUAUGUUGAAACAUUCUAGGUCAUUUUGUCUAAACCCUAAUUUGAAAGUCAACUUCCCCAGGCCAUAACUUGCUCUAUUUUUAUGAGAUGAAAUAUUUCCAAGUUUCACAAUCAAAUUCAAUGUGUCUACUUCAACUUUGAUGUUUAUAGUGGGAGAUAAUUCAACUUUUUUUAGCAUGUGAUAUGAGGUUACAUUAUAGGUUAUUUUGACCUAUACCAUUGAUCAAGUGAUUUUUCCAAAUUUCAAAAAUGCAUAACUAUAUCAUUUUAAAUCCAAAUGACAUUAAAUUGAUGAACAUUUUGAAGGUCUUUUAAAGAGAUACAACUUUGAUGAAGACACUUUUCUCAUUUGAAGCUUAUAUAAAAAGUAAAGCAAUGUGGAAUAUGGAGACAUAUGGCUUGACACUUAGAAAAAUUUUGAUAUGUCAAAAAUUUCCAAACUUCCACCUCAAAUUUCUUCAAGUUACAAACUCCAAACAGAAAAGUGUUGAACAUGAAAGUUAUUCCUCUUGAUCUGACCUUUCCAAAGACCUCAAAUUCAUUCAUUUUGGAUAAGGAAUGCAUAGGCUGCACAUGGCAUGAACAUGGUGUCAUCAUUUGGAAAAGAUCAAACUUCAAAUCCAAAUGUACACUUGACUUGCAAUCCAAGCUGAAUUCAGCCUAUCUCACACUCAUUUGUGGACUUAUGGCAAUGAUUUUAUGGGCCUAUGCGCUCCCAUGCACCCAUGCAUCAUCAAAGACCAAAUUUGGAAAGUGAAUUCAAGUGUGCAAAAAGCAAUGGAUUCAGCUAUAAAUAGAGCCUCAUAUGCUCAGCAUUUCGGACACAUUCGCGUCAGCUUUGAUCCCAUAACUCUAACCCUCACAUUGCAAAGGAUAAACCUGAGAAAUUCACUUGAAUUUGAGUUUGAAUUUCCAAUGUUUUGAAAUUCAAAUCUCCAGGAAUCCAUAGCCUUUUGAGCAUUCAAUCCUUCUUCUGCAAGCAUUUGGAGUGAGAUCAAGCACGAACAAGAGCAAGAUCAAUUGAAUCCAGACCUCCAUUGAAGGUAUUUUCCAGAAUUUUUGAUCUCUCCGAUUCUCUCUAAUUCUUACUCAAUUCUAUUGAUUCUUUGGUUGUCUGAAGUCCUACCAAUGUAGGCAAGAAGAUUGAGUUGCUUUGAGGCCAAAUCGAAGCAACUAAAUUAAUGUACCUCAAAUUUCAACUCCAUGUAUCUCUCAAUAUACUUGGAGUUAAAGUGAAUUGAGGCUAGAUUCAAACUCAGUGCCAUUUUUACUUUGAAAUCAUGUCCUUGUUUAUAAUUUUGGUUAUGGUUGAAGGUGGACCAGUCCGGUGAGGUCCACCGGAGAAGAAGGUCGGAGCUACAGCUCCGCCCAUGUGAUCCUCUUGAUUUGUUUUAAUCUGGAGCGUGCAUUUUAAUUACCAAUGUUAUGGCGCGCUGACUUGAGUUCAUCGUGGAUAACAUGUUUCUGGCCACUUGAUUUGCCACCUCAAUUAAUGAGGGAGAUCAAGUGGUCCACGUUUUUUCUGAUAUUUUAUUUUCAUUUUAGUUGCAUUAUUUUUAAUAAAACAUAUUAAAUUCAAUAUUGAUCCAAAAAAUAAAGGGACUUUCACCAAAAAAUUUCAAAUAUUUUUCUCUUUCAUAUUCUGAAUUAAAAUUAUUUUUUGGAUCAUUAUUAAUAUUUUUCAUGAAUUAAUUGAUUUUGCAUUUGUUUUUAAUUGUUUAAAAAAUUUGGAUCAUUAUUAAUAUUUUUCAUGAAUUAAUUGAUUUUGCAUUUGUUUUUAAUUGUUUAAAAAUAUUUUUAAAUGUCCAAAAAUUAUGAUUUUUUUUCUCCAAGGUCCUUUGACCUUGUUUGACAUAUGAUAAAUCUCAUGGCCAUUUCUUUGGUGUUUUGAUGAGAUUUUAGGAAUUGGACAAACCAUAUUUAAUUUAAAUGCACUAUUUUCGUAUUUUAAUUUGAAUAAAUGCCAAAUAAAGUUGUUGACCAAUUGUGAUGACUUGUUUAUGUUUGAAUCUUGUUGUUGGGCCUUGGUCAAGGUUGAUUUGACUUUGUUGACCAAUUGAUGGAAUGUAAAUUCCAUCUCCCAAAAUGAAUGGAUGAUAUUAAUAUGGUAAAAGUCCUCCUUUGAUCAAUUUGUGUUUUGAUCCAUUCCCCUCCCACUUCAUCUUACCCCCUUUACUCAUUCAUUCAUUCCAUUUGGCCUAUGAUAUCUCAUAAUCCUAAGGCUAGUUGAUUGAAAAUUUGACAUGAGUAUGGAUGAGAUUAGGCCACAACUUUUGCAUAUUCUUUUUGUGUGUGGUAUAUUUCAUGAGCAUAGUCCAUUAUACUAUGUCUCUAACAUGCAUUAACACUAAAAUUUUAUUGCCCAACUGUUAAUACCUUAGGAUUGACAUUAAUUUUGUAAAAUAAAUAAUGUAAUCAUCUCUGUUGUUUUAAUAUGUUGGGUUGAAGAAGUUCAACAUCUGGACCAACAUGUCAUGUACGAUGUCACGACAUCAGGNNNNNNNNNNNNNNNNNNNNNNNNNNNNNNNNNNNNNNNNNNNNNNNNNNNNNNNUUGUAGUGAUAGGAAUGGAAACUGGAGGUUUCUAUCUAGGAGUUCCUAGGUAUAGAUUGCAUUGGGUAGGGAUUAAGUGAAGAGUUGUAAACGGGGGAGUUUAACUCUGAAUUAAUACUGCUGAUAGUGGAUCUUCUUCCUGGCUUGGUAGCCCCCAGAUGUAGGUCAUGUUGGACUGAACUGGGUUAACAAUUUCCUGUGUUUGUUUUCCUUCUGCAUAUGUUAUAAUCCUGUAUUCCAUAACCAAACUUGUAUUUCAGUCUGCCUACCAAGAUAAUAACAGACCUGAUACAUAGCCUUCUGGUUGUAUGUCAAUCAGAAUGUCGUAACAUUCAUCAUUGACAGCUUAUACUGAAUAAUAGACAGGUUGAUUUCUAUGCUUCAGUUCAGUAUAUAUUUAAGUCUGGUUUUCAAGUGAAAACAGACCUGGCCAAAGGAUCAUUGUGAAGCUGUCAAACUGGAUGGCUAGAUAGUUGUUCAUGUAGGCUGAUACUGAACUAGAGACUGGUUGGUCGUUUACAGUACAUCAAAUUUAGCAUAGUCGGUUUCUCUAGAACAUAACAGAAUCAGUAGGAUGUAUAUGUUCUGACUGUCAAUCAGAAUGUUGUGACAUUCAUUCCUGACAGCAUGUGCUAAAGUGUAGGAUGAUUAGUUUUUUUGUUUCAGUAUUUUUCUCAGGCUAUUCUUUAGGAAUCCAACAGCUGAGCUAAAAUCCAGGAAACCAACUACUGCCCUACACUUAAUGAACCUAACAAAUAACCUAUUUGUUAGCAAUCUAAUAAGUGGUUAUUAGAUUAAUGUAUUCAACCUUUAAUUCAGGAAAUACAAGUAACAGACAAGCACACUGGAAUAAUGUAACAGAUGAACAAUAUUAAGACAUCGUGCAGAUAACAUGUGUAGGAAAACAACAGAAGUGAGUGCUAUGAUUGAUCUCUGCUGAGUUUGUAUACCAUAUGCACAGGACUAGGGGUUCCUUCCCUCUAGGAUGACAUAGAAAGAGAUGUAGUGACAUCUGUGAAAGAGUGAGUCAGUACAGGGCUUUUAAUGUGUUAACUAUCUUGCUGCAUUAGUUACAAUGUUGGAUCAGAUGUCAUGACUUGGAGUAGAACAUCUGAAUUCUGACUACGCCAGAAUUUCAAUUGGUAUCAGAGCAGGCAUCCUGUUCUAUUUCUGGAUGAGAUCCAUGGCUGAUACUUUCUGGUAUUUGGCAAGAAGUUAUGUUAGUACUGGUGUUGGAACCUGAAGAUGGUUCUGUGGUUUCCCUGAAUGGUCCCUUGAAGUAGGUGGAUGGACUAUUCAUGACAGGAACUGUGUGCACCUGCCUCUGGAGAUAGGUCCCUUGAAGUAGGUGGAUGGACUAUUCAUGACAGGAACUGUGUGCACCUGCCUCUGGAGAUUGGCAAUUGGCCUUUGUGUGGGACAGCUGUGCAAGUAUUGAAUCAUAUUCAAACUUGGUAUGGUCUUGGAGGCUGAUCUGGUGAAGUGCGUGUUCAUAGGUUGAGUUGUAUUAUAAUUUCCGCUGCAUAAUACCUGGCAAAACUCAAACUCUGAUGUAGUUUCCCCCCAUAUGGAUGAAAGGUUGUUGUAUUCGAGAUUUCAUCAUAUUCUACUGAAGAUGUCAAAGAUGCUUGAGUCUCAUCAAGUCCCCUCCUCUUAGUAAGAAUCACCUGAUCACUGAUUCUUGUACUCUCCUGGGUAGUGUAUAUGAAGACCUUGAAGUCUUUCAAGGAGGGUUUGCUUCAAGGAGGCUAAACUAAUGUUCUAUGUGAUGUUAGAACAUGUUGUUCAACAAGUAGGCAUCUACUGGUUGAAGAGCAGAUGUGUUUAGGUGUCAAACAAAGGGAUACUUUGGUUUGAAACCUACUCCUGACCUGGAAGAGGAGACAUCUGUGUGUGCUAAGUUGACAAGGGUAGGGUCAACUGUGUGUGUGCUCAAGAAGGUCACUUUUAGAAGUCUGAUCUCUAGAAGUGGAGCUGGUUGAGAUGUGACAUUGUGCAAUCCCCGCUGUGUGCCUUAUUCCUGUAGAUUGAUCAGGGUUGGAUAGUUGUUUCCUGAAGUACUAUGGCGUACUGGAAGACAAGUCCCCUGGAUGAUAGAAGUCAAUAAUAGGGUAACCUGACUGCUAUUCCAUUUAAGAGGAUUGGGACCAUGAAUCUUGUUAUUCAAACACCUCGCUCAGAAGUGGCAGUUCCUUCAAGGAGUGAGAAUAUGAAGAUUCAGAGGUUGGUUGAGGUAGUAUGCUCUGGCAAUGCAAAUCUACUAUUGACUGGUGUUGUUUUUCACUAGUACUUAUGGACAGCUGAAGUCUGAUUGGUGUGAUUGGAGUAUGUAUAGGUUUAACUCAUAGAGUUAGGUGCCACUGGUAGGGAUGGUGUAUUUCAUGUUGAGACAUGUAUGUACAAUGCAUGGAUAUUGGUGUGAAGUUUCCAUGAUUAUUUAUUUGAGGGGGAGUUUUAGUUAACCUCCUCACAUUUGGUCAGCCUAGGGUCUGGUUGGCUGUUGACUUGUGUCACAUGGGUUCUGGUGGUUGUGUGACACAUUUGCAAGGAAGAAUUCAUCUCUCUCAUUCCUAAGGGUGAAUUUAAUCUGAGAAGAUUUUCAAAACUGUUUAAGUGCUUGCAAGUAGAAGAUGUUGACACUAGAAGAGUAUUUUCAAAGUAGUCUUAUGGUGGAAGUAUCUGAAAGGAAUAUUGGGAAAGGAUUUAAGAUCAACGCCAACUUGUGCCAAGUACAAGUAUUUGAUUGAUUAUCCUUGGAGCUCAAGAUAACUGAUGUUCUUAAAAAUGUUGGAACAUCUCUUCUUCAAGACCUUGUGCAGAAUCACAGGAAGGAUAGUACAUUGGUUUAUGAUCUAUCUCUUUGGUGGCAACAAAAGCAUAUGAUCUCUAAAAAGGUUUCCUGGCAAGAAACAUGGUCAGCCUUGGUGUGUACAAGAUGAAGAAGACAUCAUAGUCUUGAUGGUG